GAGCGCGAGCGUGAAGUGGCGGAAGGAUCCUCUGACUUUUAAUCAGAGGAUCCUGGGUUCGAGUCCCAGCGCGCUCACCA
rnacentral:tRNA from 1 species